rnacentral:misc_RNA from 1 species
GAUGAAGAACGCAGCGAAAUGCGAUACUUGGUGUGAAUUGCAGAAUCCCGUGAACCAUCGAGUCUUUGAACGCAAGUUGCGCCCGAAGCCAUUAGGCCGAGGGCACGCCUGCCUGGGUGUCACACGUCGUUGCCCCCCCAUCUACUCCUUCGGGAUUGCGGGGGGCGGAUGAUGGCCUCCCGUGCGCCUCGUCGCGCGGUUGGCAUAAAUGCCAAGUCCUCGGCGACGCACGCCACGACAAUCGGUGGUUGCGAAACCUCGGUUGCCCGUCGUGUGCGGUCGUCGCGCAUCGAGGGCUCGAAAAAAUUGCCGGGCUCCGGCUCGGCUUUCAACGCGACCCCAGGUCAGGCGGGGUUACCCGCUGAAUUUAAGCAUAUCAAUAAGCGAGGA